rnacentral:lncRNA from 1 species
AUAGAAAUGACUUAUAUUUUUAAAAAUAUUAAUAUUUAGGCAUGUAUUACCUAGCUGAAUUUAAUAUAUUCUUAUUCCAGAUCCUGAGACAAACCAAAAACCGCUUAUGAUAGUUAAAUGUGUCCUAAGACUAGCUGAAAUUGAAAAAACCAUUUGCUGUCAGAAAAAAGUCACCUCUCAUUAAAGAUCAUUUCUCUCAUUCCUCCAAACCAAAUUAUUUAAGCUUAAAAAUAGCAAAAGGACCUUAUGAAAAAAACAUAUAAAUGCUAAAAAUCCCAGCUUGAGGUUUCAACCACUAUUCUUAACAUACCUUCAGAGGGUUUUGACUGUCAUUACUACAAAUAGAAGACUUCCAGGAAGGAAUUAUUCAACAAAAAGAAGUCUUUUAUUUUCUCUACAAAUUUGGGACAUCAGGAGAAAGAUGAGAGUAAAUAUAAUUCCAAUUUUCCUCAGUUGCCAAGUUGUAUACUAGGCUAUCCUGUAUCUGUUAUGAUUGUUGUUUUCAGAUACGGAAUGUUAAACUAGGUGUUGAAUUUCUAAAAAGAUGACAUUCCUAAAAAGGAAAGGUCACAUCGUAGACAGUGCCAUGAACUGAGCUGCUUGAAUGGAAGUAGAAGAGGGAGGGCUUGAGGUAGCCGUGAAAUUGAGCUCAACUGAUUAAUUUGUUAAGUAUUUCUUGAAUGCUAGGCAUUGUUCUAGGCACUGCUGGGCUACAAGUGAUCAAGACAGACUUGUUCUCUGCAACCACAGAGCUUAUAUUCCAUUUGGGGUGGUAGAUAAUGAACAAAUGAAUGAUCAGAGUAGAUUCAGACAGUGAUACGUACAACGAAAAAACACAACAGGAUGAUAUAACAGUGUCGUAAGGAAAAGGGUGGCUAAAAAAAGACCCGGGGGGUGGGGGUGACACGAAGCAGAGGCCUAAAUGACACAAGGGACUAGCUUUACUGUAAUGUAGGGAAAGAAUGUGCCAGCAAAGACCUUUAGGCUGGAGUGAGCUAGUAUGCUUGUUUGAGGACAGUAGAAAGGCCAGUAUGAUGGAAGUAUGGCAAAGAAGCCAUGUGGCUAAGAUGAAACAGCAAAGGAUGGGAAGGGUCAGACCUGUAGGCCAUGGGAUGGAGUUCAGGGUUUAAUCUGACUGAAGAUUGGACCCCUCACUUUUGGCUUUAUCAAUUCUGGUUGUAAUGUAUAUAAUCUGCUUUCAUUGUGCACCUGUUCUUAGGGUGUAGCUUUAGGUCCAUAUUCCCUCCUUUCACUUGUCCUAACUGCUGUUCUGAAGAAUCCACCAUCUUUCAAACAGGAAGAUUUAAUGCCUUUGAGGGAUUAUUUGGAGAAAAUAUACACCCUCUGUAAUAACCCUUCCUUAAAAAGUAUAACUGUUCCUUAUGUGUCUAUUUUGCAACUAAUAGUGUACCAGUUCAGAAACAAAAAUCUAAAUAUGAGAAGCUUUAUUUCCUCUCUUAUGGUGUUGGUGCCAGGGACAACUUAUCAAUGUGGCACAAGAUCUAGGGCCCUCAAUACUUUAAGGGGAUCAUAAAAAUGUUUCAACUUAUCUUAAAAUUGAAAGAAGCAAAUGAACUUUUAGGUUAGAGAAAAUGAGUAAUAUUAAUAUGUUCUAUUAUAUUCAUUUUUAUACCAAUGCAGUUUUAAAAUGUUAAAUAUUUUUGAUGGAAGAAACCCAUAAAGGCAGAGUGCAUAGGGCCCAUGAAAGUGAUAAUACAGUUCCAUUGGUUCCUAUAUAGUAAUAGAUAUCAAAGUACUCUUUACUCUUAAAUAUAAUUAUUAUUCUCUUAGAAAAACAUUUUAUUUUGUUCAUUCUAGUUUAUUGAUUUAGUGAACUUAAACUAUUUGAAUAGUAAACCCUUUUUUUUUUUAUAAAAGCUUUAAUUUAUUUAUUUGAGAGAGAGCGCACAGAGGGAGAGGGAGAAGCAGAUUCUCAGCUGAGCAGAGAGCCAGACAUGGGGCUCAAUCCCAGGACCCUGAGAUCAUGACCUGAGCUAAAGGCAGAUGCUUAACUGACUAAGCCACCCAGGUAC